AUCGAUUUCACUUGAAAAUGACGAAUACGGCAUUAAGAGAAGCUAAAAGAGAAAGACGGAGCAAGAAAAGAAAUGAUCCGGUGAAGCCGGUGCACAUUAGCGGCAUAACUACAGGGUUUGCUGAUGAUGAUGAUGAUUUUGAGCCCCCGAUUCAGUCGAUGAUGACAAAGCAACCUCAUAAAUUAAAGGUUAAUAGA